CCCUUAGAUGUCCGGGGCCGCACGCGCGCUACACUGAAGGAAUCAGCGUGGCUUUCUCCCUGACCCGAAAGGGUUGGGAAACCCGUUGAAUCUCCUUCGUGAUAGGGAUUGGGGCUUGAAAUUGCUCCCCAUGAACGAGGAAUUCCCAGUAAGCGCGAGUCAUAAGCUCGCGUUGAUUACGUCCCUGCCCUUUGUACACACCGCCCGUCGCUACUACCGAUUGAACGGUUUAGUGAGGGCCUCGGAUUGGUCUCGGCCCGCUCUUUACCGGGCGGCGCCGUUGGUCGAGAAGACGCUCGAACUUGAUCGUUUAGAGGAAGUAAAAGUCGUAACA
rnacentral:rRNA from 1 species